UUUAUAACUUUCAGCAACGGAUCUCUUGGCUCUCGCAUCGAUGAAGAACGCAGCGAAUUGCGAUAUGUAAUGUGAAUUGCAGAUUUUCAGUGAAUCAUCGAAUCUUUGAACGCACCUUGCGCUCCUUGGUAUUCCGAGGAGCAUGCCUGUUUGAGUGUC
rnacentral:rRNA from 1 species